GCUUACGGCCAUACCACCCUGAGAACGCCCGAUCUCGGAAGCUAAGCAGGGUCGGGCCUGGUUAGUACUUGGAUGGGAGACCGCCUGGGAAUACCAGGUGCUGUAAGCU
ensembl:rRNA 5S_rRNA 5S ribosomal RNA